CCUACGGGGGGCAGCAGUGAGGAAUAUUGGUCAAUGGGCGCGAGCCUGAACCAGCCAAGUAGCGUGAAGGAUGACUGCCCUACGGGUUGUAAACUUCUUUUAUAAAGGAAUAAAGUGAGGCACGUGUGCCUUUUUGUAUGUACUUUAUGAAUAAGGAUCGGCUAACUCCGUGCCUGCAGCCGCGGUAAUACGGUGGAUCCGAGCGUUAUCCGGAUUUAUUGGGUUUAAGGGGUGCGUAGAUGGGUUGUUAAGUCAGUUGUGAAAGUUUGCGGCUCAACCGUAAAAUUGCAAUUGAUACUGGCAGCCUUGAGUACAGGUGAGGUAGGCGGAAUUCGUGGUGUAGCGGUGAAAUGCUUAGAUAUCACGAAGAACUCCGAUUGCGAAGGCAGCUUACUAAACUUCCACUGACAUUGAUGCUCGAAAGUGUGGGUAGCAAACAGGAUUAGAUACCCUGGUAGUC
rnacentral:rRNA from 1 species